rnacentral:rRNA from 1 species
GCCGCGUGAGGGACGACGGCCUUCGGGUUGUAAACCUCUUUCAGCUCUGACGAAGCGAAAGUGACGGUAGGAGCAGAAGAAGCACCGGCCAACUACGUGCCAGCAGCCGCGGUAAUACGUAGGGUGCAAGCGUUGUCCGGAAUUAUUGGGCGUAAAGAGCUCGUAGGCGGUUUGUCGCGUCGGGAGUGAAAACCAGGUGCUUAACACCUGGCUUGCUUUCGAUACGGGCAGACUAGAGGUAUUCAGGGGAGAACGGAAUUCCUGGUGUAGCGGUGAAAUGCGCAGAUAUCAGGAGGAACACCGGUGGCGAAGGCGGGUCUCUGGGCCGAUACUGACGCUGAGGAGCGAAAGCGUGGGGAGCGAACAGGAUUAGAUACCCUGGUAGUCCACACCGUAAACGUUGGGCGCUAGGUGUGGGGUCCAUUCCACGGAUUCCGUGCCGCAGCUAACGCAUUAAGCGCCCCGCCUG